rnacentral:rRNA from 1 species
ACAUUUAAAAUCUGGCGGUCUGGCGGCCGUCCGAGUUGUAGCCUGGAGAAGCGUCCUCUGCGCCGGACCCGUGUACAAGUCUCCUGGAACGGAGCGUCGUAGAGGGUGAUAAUCCCGUCGUCGACACGGACCUCCGGUUAGCUAUGCGAGGCGCUCUCGAAGAGUCGAGUUGUUUGGGAAUGCAGCUCAAAGUGGGUGGUGAAUUCCAUCUAAAGCUAAAUACAGGCGAGAGACCGAUAGCGGACAAGUACCGUGAGGGAAAGAUGAAAAGCACUCUGGAAAGAGAGUUAAACAGCACGUGAAAUCGCUGAGAGGGAAACGCUUGAAGUCAGUCGCGUCGGCGUUAGGAGGUCAGCCUUCCCGGGAUAAUAACCGUGGGGCGCACUCUCCCGUCGACGGGCCAGCAUCGAUAUCGACCGCCGGAGAAGGGCUCGGGGAACGUGGCACCUCCCGGUGUGUUAUAGCCCCCUGUCGUAUGCGGCGGUCGGGAUCGAGGUUUUUACAUGUUCGCAGCACGCCUUUUUGGCCGGGGCCGUUCGCGGUCCACGUCCGUGCUUAGGAUGCUGGCGUAAUGGCUUUGAACGACCCGUCUUGAAACACGGACCAAGGAGUCCAACUCGCCUGCGAGUGUUUGGGUGGAAAACCCGAGCGCGUAACGAAAGUGAAAGGUCGAGAACCCCUUUGACCGGGGGGGCACCGACGCCCGGGCCCUUUCAACCCCCUCGAAAGGGGGGGCCCUGGACCCGCGGUAGAGCAUGCGUGUUGGGACCCGAAAGAUGGUGAACUAUGCCUGAAUAGGGUGAAGCCAGGGGAAACCCUGGUGGAGGCUCGUAGCGAUUCUGACGUGCAAAUCGAUCGUCGAAUUUGGGCAUAGGGGCGAAAGACUAAUCGAACCAUCUAGUAGCUGGUUCCCGCCGAAGUUUCCCUCAGGAUAGCAGAAGCUCGCGCAUCAGAUUUACGUGGUAAAGCGAAUGAUUAGAGGUCCUGGGGUCCUUUGCGUCCUCAACCUAUUCUCAAACUUUGAACAUGUAAGAACCGGCCGUCGCUCGAAUGGACGGCCCGGGACGAUUGAGAGCUUCUAGUGGGCCAUUUUUGGUAAGCAGAACUGGCGAUGCGGGAUGAACCGAACGUGAGGUUAAGGUGCCGGAAUGCACGCUCAUCAGACACCACAAAAGGUGUCGGUUCAUCUAGACAGCAGGACGGUGGCCAUGGAAGUCGGAACCCGCUAAGGAGUGUGUAACAACUCACCUGCCGAAUGAACCGGCCCUGAAAAUGGAUGGCGCUCAAGCGUGCUACCCAUACCUCACGUCGGCGUUAUAGUGACGC